rnacentral:rRNA from 1 species
AGCAGCCGCGGUAAUUCCAGCUCCAAUAGCGUAUAUUAAAGUUGUUGCAGUUAAAAAGCUCGUAGUUGAAUUUCGGGAUCAAAUUGUCGGUCGUGCCUCGGUACGUACUGGCGUUAUUGGUUCCUCCCUUCUGAAGAACCGCGAUGUCAUUAAUUUGGUGUCGCGGGGAAUCAGGACUGUUACUUUGAAAAAUUAGAGUGUUUAAAGCAGGCUCGCGCUUGAAUACAUUAGCAUGGAAUAAUGAAAUAGGACGCUUGAUUCUAUUUUGUUGGUUUCUAGGAUCGACGUAAUGAUUAAUAGGGAUAGUUGGGGGCAUUAGUAUUCAAUUGUCAGAGGUGAAAUUCUUGGAUUUAUUGAAGACUAACUACUGCGAAAGCAUUUGCCAAGGAUGUUUUCAUUAAUCAAGAGCGAAAGUUAGGGGAUCGAAGACGAUCAGAUACCGUCGUAGUC